CAGCACCUCUUCUUGAUUGCCUGCUAAUACGUUACCUUGGCAGAGCUGAACUUAUCUUUAAGAUGAAGAGUAACCUUUGACCUCUUUUGGCAUUUCCAGCCCUCUUGCAUAUCAGGAAUGUCUCCCUCAUAAUGCUAAUCUUCAUCCCUGUUGUUAAAAGACAGUCGCAUAAAACUAUUUAAAUAAACAAGAACUACAACAGGCUCCCUCAGUCUGGUGCCCUCCCAAUGUUUUGUACUGCAACUCCCAUCAUCCCUGACCACUGGCCAUACUGGCUGGGACUGGUGGGAGCUAUAGCCGGAAGAAUAUGGAGAGCAGUAGCAUGGAAAGGUUGAAGAGUCCCUUUAUUCUCGAUUCCUCAAAAUCAUUUCCCCUUAUUCACAUUGACUUUUCUAGGUUUGUGGUUUGUGGUUCCAUUAUUAGCCUGGUUAAUAGCAAAACUACUAAACCCAACACUUGGUCUCCAUUAUGUUUUAUUCCUUAUUGCUGUUUCCUCUAUUACAAGCUUUUUCUUAGAGCGGGUUACUUUUAAUAAACAAGCAAUUACUGGAAAUGGCUUUCAUACCCAACAUAAUCCUUGGAGGCCUGUAAAUCUUCCUCUGCAGUCCUUCUCCCAUCCCUCCUCCCCAGCCCCUAGGUGAGGACCAGGGUAAUGGCAACAACAACAACGAAAGGCAUCCAGCGCUAUCAAGGAAAUUAUGAAUCAAUUGAUCAAUUGGCCGAAUCAAUUGUUCUUGUUUUGACAUUCUGCAUUAAUCAGUAACUAAUUGCCCAAUUUUAAAUGCUUUUAAAAAAUGUAUUUAGGAAAUCAAUAAUGCAGUAACUGCUUUUGAAACAGAAGACCGAGCAUGGCUUCAGAGGGAGGAAAUGGACAGGCAAAGCCGGGGCGUGUUCUGCAGCACCGCUGCGCCUCGGAACACCACUCUCCUUUCACGUGCCUUCCUCCUUCACGUUUGCUUCCUAACAAAGCACGUCCAUUUGCAGCAAAUCAAUAGCUUGCCUAGAAUUUCAGGAACUGAAUUUCAGGCUCGGGAAUGUACAGCCUCCUACAGUUUCUUUCUUAUGGGUUUUAUAAUACAGCAUUCACAGGUGGAGCAGCAAAGAGAGAUGUGGCCUCUCACAAUUUGCUUUUCAGGAAGAACUCAAAGAUCCCUUGAAAGGUACCGUAUUUUUCGCUCCAUAAGACUCACUUUUUUCUUCCUAAAAAGUAAGGGGAAAUGUCUGUGCGUCUUAUGGAGCAAAUGCGUGGUCCCUGGAGCCAAAUUGCCCAGGGGCAAAAAGCAGAAGAGGGAAGGGGGUGUUGAAGGGAAGCAGCUGAUCGGCAAGCAAUCGGGGAGGCAGAUAAGGGAGCUAGAGAUAAAGGAGGCUGCCUGGGAGGGGGCAGGUAAAAGCCCAUGGAUCCUCAAGAUUUUUGCAUUGGGUCAUCCCAAAUUCACCAUCAGAUCACAUAGCAUGUCCAUGGCUACAGCCUGCACCAAAGCAAUGGCACAAAAACGUGGUUACAAAGCACAGAUCCACAUGGAUUCUCAGGAUUUUUGCAUUGGGCUACCCCAAACUCACCAUCAAAUCACAUGUCUGUGGCCACAGCAUGAACCACAAAAAUCAUACAUCCACUGUUUCGUUCAGAAUAUUUUUUUUCUUGUUUUCCUCCUCUAA
rnacentral:lncRNA from 1 species